GACCAGGCCCAGAGUGACAGAGACUGAUAGCCGAGACAGGAGUGUGGGCUGCGGACGGUGGAGAGAAGGGCUCCGGGUGGAGGUCCAGGUCAUGUGCAGCCAGGCAUUGGGCAUUUCAUCCUGGUGCGCUUCACCACUGAGCUACAUCCCCAGCAAUUCUUAAAAUUUUUCAGAUUUUGAGACAGGUCUCACUAAGUUGUGGAGGACGUCACUAUGUUGCUGAGGCUGGCCUCUAGAGCAGCUGGGAUUACAGGCAAGCGCCACUACGCCUGGCCGCUAUGUACUUGAUGCACAGGGCUUCAAACACUGGCCAGGCCAAGAGUCCCAGCGGUUUAUCCUUCGCCUGAUGUGACCACUGAGCUCUGAAUUCCUCCAUCUCACCUCCUAUGCAAAAUGCUGCCUGAUUUCCAACAUGCAUCUUAAACAUGAUGUUCCAAAACAUAAGCCCUAGGCCCCCUCGCCUCAAGCCCCUCACCCCAUCUUCCCACGAAUGGCAUGGUGAGGAGGCUGCCAUGCACAGCUGCCAAGCAGAGACUCUCACCAGAACCUAGGAGGUGAACCUUUCUGAGUGGGUGUUACACUUCAACGAAAAGAUACCAACCACCACAGAAAUCCUCAGAGUGACCUGAUCCCUCCCUUUUCAUUCCCAAAGUCCACUGGCAGAGCUAACCAUUCAAAACUGGCCUCCUAUCCCUGACUCCCAUCCAUUUCUAGGCUCAGCCCUCACUAUACCACGCCAGCAGCCUCCCUCAGUCCCUCUACAGCCACUGUCCUCCCUGGCAACCCAUUGCCACCCAGCAGCCUGCACCACAGCCUAUGGGACCUUCAGGCUUCUCGUUCCAGGAACACAGUCCUGCAGCCUCCAGUGCAGCCCUCCCCACUCUCCACCACCUCCUCUGCUUGCCAGCCCCAGCCAUGCUGGUCUCCUUUGGUCCUGGCUACCACAGCCCUCAUCCCCAGGGCACAGCUUCUGUUCCCCUGCCUGGGACACUAUGGUCCUGCUCUUUGCAUGGCUAGUUCACUUCCAUCUUCAGGAUUUUCUGAAUGUCCACUCCUUGGAAAGACCAUGUCCCUCCUGCCCUCCACCAUCUGUGGCCUUAUGCAACUGUUCUUGCUCUGCCUUGAAUUCUGUGCGGGGACUUGCUCUGCUGUCCCUCACACUCAGCUUACCACUGGGCAGCUGGUAGAAACUUGGUGCACAUUUGCCAGAGGAAUGAAAAAUAAAUGUCGUAGUUGGCCAUUAUUCAA